rnacentral:rRNA from 1 species
UACAGAGGGUGCGAGCGUUGUCCGGAAUCACUGGGCGUAAAGGGCGCGUAGGCGGCUUUUCAAGCGUGCGGUGAAAGCUCGGGGCUUAACUCCGAGUCUGCCGUGCGAACUGGGAGGCUUGAGUCUGGUAGAGGUCGAUGGAAUUCCGGGUGUAGCGGUGGAAUGCGUAGAGAUCCGGAAGAAUACCGGUGGCGAAGGCGGCCUGCUGGGCAGUGGCUGACACUGAGGCGCGACAGCGUGGGGAGCAAACAGG